AUGAAGACACAUGUUUCCAAUUUAUUCAUGAUUCUGUGGCUGAAGAUGGAUGGGGUGAGCCAAGGAGAGCAGGUGGAGCAGCUUCCUUCCACCCCCAGAGUCCAGGAGGGAGCCAGUGCUGUCAUCAACUGCACUUACACAGACAGUGCCUCCUACUACUUCCCUUGGUAUAAGCAAGGACCAGGAGAGCAUCCUAAGCUCAUUAUUGACAUUCGAUCAACUAUGGAAAGAUAUCAGGACCAAAGACUGAUAGUUUUACAGGAUAAGAAAACCAAACACUUCUCCCUGCACAUCACAGACACCCAGCCUGAGGACUCUGCUAUGUACUUCUGUGCUACAAGUGCAUACUGCUCCCCAGGCACCUGCAGCCUGUUCUCAAACCUGACACAGGGCCUGGAGCCCAGUCCACAUCCUGUGUCACGGGCUUUCCAGUGCAGCAUUU